CCCUUAGAUGUUCUGGGCCGCACGCGCGCUACACUGAUGCAUUCAACGAGUCUAAAACCUGCUCUGAUAGGGGUGGGUAAUCUUUUGAAUGUGCAUCGUGAUUGGGAUAGAUGAUUGAAAUUUUUCAUCUUCAACGAGGAAUGCCUAGUAAACGCAAGUCAUCAGCUUGCAUUGAUUACGUCCCUGCCCUUUGUACACACCGCCCGUCGCUCCUACCGAUUGAGUGGUCCGGUGAGGCUUUGGGAUCUGAGCGGAAAGAGCGUUUCGCUGUUUCUGCUCGGAAAACUCAGUCGAACCUUAUCAUUUAGAGGAAGGAGAAGUCGUAACA
rnacentral:rRNA from 1 species